UGAGUACGAGAUGCUACGGCGUCGAAGCAGUCUAUGUCAUACUUCCAAGAAAAGCUUGCACUGUCAUAAACAAAGAAUGCCUGUACCAUAACCGACACAGGUGGGUAGGUAGAGUAUACUAAGGGGCGCGAGAUAACUCUCUCUAAGGAACUCGGCAAAAUGACUCCGUAACUUCGGGAGAAGGAGUGCCUUAUUUUUAAGGUUGCAAUAACAAGAUCCAAGCAACUGUUUACCAAAAACACAGGUCUCCGCUAAGUCGUAAGACGAUGUAUGGGGGCUGACGCCUGCCCAGUGCCAGAAGGUUAAAGAAGUUGGUUAGCAUUCGCGAAGCUGAUAACUGAAGCCCUGGUGAACGGCGGCCGUAACCAUAACGGUCCUAAGGUAGCGAAAUUCCUUGUCGGGUAAGUUCCGACCCGCACGAAAGGCGUAAUGAUUUGGAUACUGUCUCGGAGAGGGGCUCGGUGAAAUAGACUUGUCUGUGAAGAUGCGGACUACCUGCACCUGGACAGAAAGACCCUAUGAAGCUUUACUGUAACUUGAGAUUGAAAUUGGACUUUAUUUGCGCAGUAUAGGUGGGAGGCGUUGAGAAUAAUCUUGCGGGAUUAUGGGAGCCAUCAGUGAGAUACCACUCUUGUAAUGUUAGAUUUCUAACUUUGUAUCAUUAUCUGGUCAAAGAACAGUUUCAGGCGGGCAGUUUGACUGGGGCGGUCGCCUCCCAAAGGGUAACGGAGGCGCACAAAGGUUUCCUCUGAACGGGUAGAAAUCGUAUCUAGAGUGUAAAGGCAUAAGGAAGCUUGACUGUGAGACCUACAAGUCGAGCAGGGACGAAAGUCGGUCUUAGUGAUCUGACGGUGCUGAGUGGAAAGGCCGUCACUCAACGGAUAAAAGUUACUCUAAGGAUAACAGGCUGAUCUCCCCCAAGAGUUCACAUCGACGGGGAGGUUUGGCACCUCGAUGUCGGCUCAUCGCAUCCUGGGGCGGUAGUACGUCCCAAGGGUUGGGCUGUUCGCCCAUGAAAGCGAUACGCGAGCUGGGUUCAGAACGUCGUGAGACAGUUCGGUCCAUAUCCGGUGUAGGCGUUAGAAUAUUGAAAGGAGCCUUCUCUAGUACGAGAGGACCGAGAAGGACAUACCUCUGGUGUACCAGUUAUCGUGCCAACGGUAAACGCUGGGUAGCUAUGUAUGGAGUGGAUAACCGCUGAAAGCAUCUAAGUGGGAAGCCCACCUUAAGAUAAG
rnacentral:rRNA from 1 species